ACGAGCCACACAAACGUUAUUCGGAAUUACUGGGCUUAAAGGGUGCGUAGGCGGUGCGGAAAGUAGGGUGUGAAAGCCCUCGGCUUAACCGAGGAAUUGCGCUCUAAACUACUGUGCUUGAGGAACCUAGAGGUGAGCAGAACUGAUGGUGGAGCGGUGAAAUGCGUUGAUAUCAUCAGGAAUACCGGAGGCGAAGGCGGCUCACUGGGGGUUUUCUGACGCUGAGGAACGAAAGCCAGGGGAGCGAACGGGA
rnacentral:rRNA from 1 species